AAACUUUCAACAACGGAUCUCUAGGCUCUC
rnacentral:rRNA from 1 species